AUCACUCCCUGAGCAGUGUUUGAGUG
rnacentral:piRNA from 1 species